rnacentral:lncRNA from 1 species
GAAGAGAACUAAUUGGAAUACUGUAUCGAUGACGCAGCUUUGAAGUCACUGCUCCAGGCCAAAGUUUCCAUUCAACCCCGAACCUGAGGAAUUCAAGCCUGAACGAGCACUGAAGUUGAAGUAACUUCUCAAAGGCAAUGUUUGGUCUCUUCAUCUCUGUGUGCCCUCUUUAGUUAUUUCUCUCUGAAGUUCAGAGAAAAAUGAAUAAUGGAAAGUAUUCAGCUGAAUCUCAACUUAAAGAAAACAAAAGCUUGAAGUGAAGAUGUUUCUGUUAAAGAGAAGAGGGAACUCUUCUCUAGUUACAGAGGUACAGAAACUGAACUGAUUAGUUAAAAAAAAAAUAUAUAUCGUUAAAUGUCCUGUAUUUUUGGGAAAAUUAUCAAAUAAUUUGAUAAUCCAUUUAAAAAUUAUUUUGAAAC